CACACCUGAAAGGCGUUGAACACAAAAGCGCUUCCUUUGGUUCCAAGUUCUAUGACUGCGUUCGUGCCCCACCUCUUCCUUUCAAUCUGUUUAUUUAUGGGCUCUUUGACAACUCAGACGCUAAGCCAGUGGCCUUGGGCUGUAAUUACAGAAACUUUAAAAACUCAGAGUUAGCAUGUUUCUCAAAUCAAUUAAAAGUGCUUAAAAAUAUCUAGAGAAGCCAAGAACAACCAAAGCCCUAACCACCUGAACGUCCCAGAGAGCUCAGUGAGGAUUGACAAUCUCAGGCGGGCUGGGGCCUGUAGGGAGUAGGAAGCAGGGCUGAACAGGGGCAGAUUUGUUCCUCGAAUGCUGCUGACUAAUCCAGAAAGGACAGUCAGAGUGGAAGGCAGACCUCAAGCCCCAUCCCUUAGCAAGUUGAGCUUUGAUGCUCGGGUGUAGGUCUCACAUGGACAGCCAGCAACACACCAAAUUACACAGUCAGACAUGGUUCUCCCUGUCUCUGGUGGCCAUUGUUCUUCCAGAAGAUUUGCAAAGAGAGGAUUCACUCUUGGCUAGACCAGUUGGCAGGGCUGACAUUCGCUCUGGAUCUCACAGAGUCUGAGAAAAGGACGAGUCAGCAAGCGCAGCCCGGUGGGGACAAAACCAUCCAUGAUUACUCAGCGAGAACGUCUGACCACUGAAAGGCCACAAGCUGGCAAGAACACCGUUGUUCCUGGCUGGGCAAUCCCCUCCUUUAACAGAUGAAAACAGCCCAGAGAGACAAGCAAAGCACCCGAGGCCACACAGCCAGUAUACGGUGCACACAGAGAUGGGGUUCCAUGGCUCACUGUGGUGAAAAACAUUUGUUAAUCGCUCUGUGCAUUUGCCUUUUCUCAAAAAAAAAAAGUAGAAGCUUUUGCAGGAGCCUGUGUGGUCAAGCUCAGCUCAGCAGGAGUGGAAGCGGUGACUCCCGAGAAGGACCUCAGGGAUCUGAAACGCCUGACGUCAUCAGCUCAUCAGCUGGAGAUACCAGCUCUUCUGCUCAGAGUUCCCAGAGAGAGUAGAGAUUCUAAGCACACGCUCAACACACACCUUCAACUCCCAGAAAGGAGACUUGACUUCACCCGACUCUUUUAUCAAACUCCCUAGAACGUGGUUGGCUGAUUCCCUGCUCUAUCCAUUUGCCUACGAAUUUCAAGAUGCCGUUUUUUACCACUGAAUUCAGUUAACAAGAGGGAGGAGGAAUCAUAUGAACAAGGUGGUUUAGGAGCAUGAUGGGGAAAUCCACAGAGACCCUGACCCAAGCUAAUGGGAGCUCACAGACCGUGAACUGACAGUCGAGGACCCUGCAUGGGACCGAACUAGAUCCUCUGAAUGUCAUUUUGACGGAUACUCUAUGAGCGAAAAAAAUUAUAACCGCUGAUAGUCCUGGGUCAGAGAGCAGCAGUUCAUCCAGGAAGAAGAGGGAGCAAGCUCUCAAGUUCAAAGCCAGAUGGGCAUACAUAUGAGUUCAAAGCAAGCGCAGGCUACAUUGCAAGAUCAUGUCUCAAAAACAUCUUGAAAUUUUGGAGGAGAAGAUAUUUGGAUUGAUUCUUUAAAGAAUGACAAUAUCCAGACUAGGAAGGAUGUUGUAAGUGCAAAGACGGAUUGAUGUGAUGGCUACAUGGUGCUAUUUCAGGAAGAUCUCCUCCUUGACUCUUUUCUGGAUGAUGUACUGUCCUGUGACUCCCCAUCAUGUGAUUUUGAAGAGGUCGUUAUUGAAUUAAGAGAUCCCUCAGCAUCGUGUUGUUUUGGUGCAACAGAUUAUAAUUUCAUAAGCAUUGUAUACACUCUCUUAUUCCUACAGUAACUCUGUGGGGUUUGCCUUACUCCAUUUUGAGAUGAUGGAACUUAUUAAUAAAGAAGUAAUUUUUAAAAAGUCAUGAAG